rnacentral:rRNA from 1 species
AUGGACAAGUUAAAGGCAGGCAUGAAAAAUGAGUACACAAGGGUAUUUGAUUACCAGCUGGAGUUGCUUGGAAGUAAUCCUGGUAGCACAAUUGCAGUGUGCUUGGAUCCUACCAACAAGGAACAAAAUGUUUUCCAAAGCUUUUAUGUGUGCUUUAAUGCAUUUAAGUUAGGAUUCAAGGCUGGCUGCAGGAAAGUAAUAGGUUUAGGUUGCUUUUUCAAAGCAGUAGUGAAGGGAGAGUUGUUGUGUGCCAUUGCUAGAGAUGCCAAUAACCAGUUGUAUCUAGUGGCUUGGGCAGUUGUUGAGCAAGAAACAAAUGAAACUUGGAUGUGGUUUGUUGGCUUGCUUAUCAAGGAUCUUGACAUUAACAAUAAUGGAGCUGGCUAGGUCUUCAUUUCUGAUUAGCAAAAGGGUUUGAUUAAUGCCAUGAGGGAUUAUCUGCCAAAUGCAGAGCAUAGGCAGUGUGCUAGUCAUAUUUAUGCCAAUUGGAGUAAGAAGCAUAGGGCACAUGAAUGGCAGAAAAUUUGAGCAGUGGCCAAAGCAUCUAACAAACAAGAUUUCAACUACUACAAAGCAAAGCUAGCACAAGAAACACCAAAGGGUGCACAGGAUAUCACGAAAACAGAGCCUGGACACUGGGCAAGAGCAUUUUUUGCAUUUGGUUCCCACUGUGAGUCGGUUAAGAACAACUUGUGUGAAUCUUUCAAUCAUGCAAUUAUUGAUGCAAGGUUUUAUCCCUUAAUCACAAUGCAAGACAAGAUCAGACAGAAAUCAUUAUCUAGAAUACAAGAACAAAGGGAUAAAAGUGCAAAUUUUCAUGGGAAAAUAUGCCCAAGAAUAUUUAAGAAGUUGAAGAGUAGCAUAUCAAGGACAUAG